GCCGGGGUGGCGGAACGGGUAGACGCGCCGGAUUCAAAAUCCGGUUCUCGAAAGAGAGUGCGGGUUCGAGCCCCGCCCCCGGCA
rnacentral:tRNA from 1 species